AGGAAGGGACAGUUCCAGCUGGGUUCUGGGCCCUGGCCGGUUCCGGGGUGCUGGGGCUGCAGGGCAGGGCGCCGCGUGCCCGGGCUGGCCCUGCGCUCUGUCCGCAGGACCGGACUUUCGUGCUGUGCGCAGCCCUGUCCACACCCAGCCCGACGGCGGGCUCAGAAUCGGUGUUCCGUAACACGGAAGUAAGUGCUUACUGUAAAGCGUCCGCGGAAGGCGAUUCGAUACCCGACGAGCCCCACACCUGCCGGGCCUGGGGGGCCCUGGCAGCUCAGUACCUUCUCUCCACACACACACACACACACACACACACACACACACACACACACACGCACACAGGCUGACGGAGGCCUACACGGUAGAGCCAUGAGAAGAGACAACCCCAGACCUUUGGGGGAAGGGCGUGGGGCAGAGGUGUGUGUGGGAAGGGGCGAAGGCAUGAGAGCCAUGACGGGGGGGGGGAGGGGGGGGAGGUUUCCUGUUUUAAAAUAGACUCGCCAACCCACUAAUUAUGUCUCGCGCCUCCAGAGGCCAAAGCGGCUCUCCGUUCGAAAGAAACCAUUCGAAGUAACUUGCAGAUUCCCUGUAUUUUCUUUCCUCUCUCCCUCUCGAGGAGGAGGGCGUGCUGAUGAGCACGGACGGACGUUCCAAGGACCACAGACAAGAAUCGGGAGGAGGGACCGCCGCCCCAGUCCUCACACGCCCUUGCGGUCUGCUCGUGCCAUUUGCACGUCCGUCCCUUUUCCAUCUUUGUGAGCUUCAAACAGAAGCCGAGUUUUCCCUCUUUCCCUGUGUGUUUCCCCGGAGCGCUUCUCCGCGUGGCCAGAGAGGUUCCCUCGCUAUCAUCUGAGUGGCCGAGGCGGUUCCCUUCUCCAGCACCACUGUCGGAGGGGGACCCCGGGCCGGAGGGUGUGGACGCCAGCUUCAGCCCCUCCACGGCCGGGGCCCGCGUGAGCCUCUGUGGCGCCAAACUCGGGGCCUCCCUCGGAGGCGAGCCACCCCGCCGGCCUCCGCACACAGGAGGCCUCUCCCCCGUGUGGUUUGCGAGAGCGGCGGGAAGGGGCUUGAAUCUGGUGGGGCUGCCGGCUGCCCGAUGGGCAGGAGGCGGACGCUGCCCCCACCGGGAUGACACCGGGUGGGGGGCGUCUCCGCAGCACGCAGGAGUCCCAUCCGGAUCCUUCCACCCACCCUGCAAAUGUCACUGCGCCUUGAAUUGCUGGAGUCAGGUUCCCAAGGUGCCUUGGAUGGGGAGCUCCUUUGAGGGGACAAUGUCACUCGGGUUGGCACAGGACAUACGCUCCUCUGAGGACAGAACGUAGAGGCACGCGCCAAGCACAAGGUGUCCUCCCUACAAGGCCGCCGCAGGGUCUCAGGUUCUACCGGAUCCCUGUUGUGAUGGCACGGCGCCUCGCAGCCCCCUGGGGACUGAAGCCGGACGGAAGCCCCACAGACACCGGCGGCAGGGUGGGCAGAGGGGCCAGCACUGCCCGCUGACCUGCUGAGACGCUGCAGCACACGGAGCUCUCCCCGAGCCCGGCUCCCCUCGGUCCACAGGGCUGCUCGCAAACACCCCCGCCCCUCUUCUCAGAGUCCCCAGGACCGAAGCCUCAAGGUCAGGCCGCUUUCUCUCCCCUCGGGUUUCGGGAUCAGGAGCUCUCCUGCCACUCUGCCACCUGCCUCCCCGGCCUCGGAUCCCCUCCCCCAUCCCUCUGUGCCCGACAGGCCAGGGGAGUCCCGAAGCCUCACGUGCACCGUGGCUGGGCUCUCUUUUGAGGGGCGCGGGCCUCCUCGGGGCUCUCCUCCUGCUUGUGCACCGAGGAGCCCAGAGCAGCCCGGGACGCCAUCACUGGGCCAGACCAUCCCUGUCUAACGGUGUGUCCCGCAGCGAUGGAGGUGUUCUAGAUGUGUGCUAUCCCAUCGGAGCCACCGGAGCAUCUGAAUGAAGUGUGAUCAGCGAGCGACCAACCCGUCUGCAUUUGUUAUAGCCGCUGAACCAGUACUGACCCAUCAUCGUCAACCGAAGCCCGUGAUUUACGUCAUGGUUCUACACUCUGUGUUGUGCGGUUGUGAGUGUGGACAAAUCCGUGUCAUUGAUCCACCGUUACGGUAUCAUCCAGACGGAGGAGGUUCACCGCCCUACAAAUCAGUGCUGCUGCGAUUCGCCCUCCCGUGCUCCACCCGCACCCAUAACCACCACUCCGUGUAUUGUCACUGUAAUUCUGUCUUUUCCAGAAGGUCAUAGGGUUGCCGUCUUUUUAGACCGGCUUCUUCCAACUUCCCAAUUUACAGUGAAGGUACCUCUGUGUCUUUGUGCCUUUGUAGCUCACUUCUUGUAACCGCUGAAUGUCGUCCCACGGUGUCGAUCCAUUCACCUACUGAAAGACAUCUGGGUUGCUUCCAAUCUGGGGCAGUUAUGAAUAAAGCUACUGAAACAUUC